AAAAUUAAAUCCAUGAAGAUGUCAUCAUCGGUGAAAUUAUUCAACCCUCAGAAUCAUUGACGAAGAGGUUCAGACAGACACUCGAUUGGUGUGGAGUGAAGAAUCGGUGUUGUUUUUUCAACGCCAUGUAUUAGAAAAUAUCAGACGACAAUUAUCGUACAAGUGCGACUUGAAGAAGUACCACCAGCUAUGAUGUGUGAUAAAUUUUUGAGUGAACCCAACCGAGUGUAAUUCAGUGACUCGAAGUUUGGCGAAUCCCGAAAAAUUUCCACCGACCAUUGAUCGCGAGGUUGACAUCAACGCACGAAGACCGCAGGAUAUAUUCUACCGCGGCUGUUCUCCACCUUUCGGUCAGAAAUGCCCCGUUGGUUAGCCGGUGGGUCUCUGACCUUCGGAAUAAUUCAAGACCCGAAAUGUACGAUGAUAUGAGUCGCGCCGUCUACCAGAGGGUAGAACGGUUGCCGUUCCGCGUGGCUGAUCUCGUAGAGAUUGCCGAUCGAUACCGACUCCAAUAUCUGACCACCUGGAGAUUUUGCGCCUAUGACUACCGCGAGAAUCUCGCUUCGGAAACCUCAGACGGGCC
rnacentral:misc_RNA from 1 species